rnacentral:rRNA from 1 species
GACAGAGGCCUCAAGCGUUAGGCGGAAUCACUGGGCUUAAAGCGUGUGUAGGCGGAUCGUUAAGUGCCUUGUGAAAUCCCACGGCUUAACUGUGGAACGGCUGGGCAUACUGGCGGUCUUGAGCCAUCUAGGGGCGACUGGAACAAACGGUGGAGCGGUGAAAUGCGUAGAUAUCGUUUGGAACGCCAAUGGUGAAAACAGGUCGCUGGGGAUGCGCUGACGCUGAGACACGAAAGCCAGGGGAGCAAACAGG